rnacentral:rRNA from 1 species
UACGGGGGGGAGCAAGCGUUGUUCGGAUUUACUGGGCGUAAAGGGCGCGUAGGCGGCCAGCACAAGUCAGUUGUGAAAUCUCCGAGCUUAACUCGGAACGGUCAACUGAUACUGUGCGGCUAGAGUGCGGAAGGGGCAACUGGAAUUCUUGGUGUAGCGGUGAAAUGCGUAGAUAUCAAGAGGAACACCUGCGGCGAAGGCGGGUUGCUGGGCCGACACUGACGCUGAGGCGCGAAAGCUAGGGGAGCAAACGGG